rnacentral:rRNA from 1 species
AGCGGCGGACGGGUGAGUAACGCGUGGGUAACCGUGCCUCAUACAGGGGGAUAACAGUUGGAAACGGCUGCUAAUACCGCAUAAGCGCACAGACCGCAUGGUACGUGUGAAAAACUCCGGUGGUAUGAGAUGGACCCGCGUCUGAUUAGCUAGUUGGUGGGGUAACGGCCUACCAAGGCGACGAUCAGUAGCCGACCUGAGAGGGUGACCGGCCACAUUGGGACUGAGACACGGCCCAA